rnacentral:rRNA from 1 species
GUAGCGGCGAGCGAAGCGGGAAGAGCUCAAAUUUGUAAUCUGGCGCUUUCGGCGUCCGAGUUGUAAUCUCUAGAAGUGUUUUCCGCGUUGGACCGCACACAAGUCUGUUGGAAUACAGCGGCACAGUGGUGAGACCCCCGUUCACGGUGCGGAUGCCCAAUGCUUUGUGAUACACUUUCGAAGAGUCGAGUUGUUUGGGAAUGCAGCUCAAAUUGGGUGGUAAAUUCCAUCUAAAGCUAAAUAUUGGCGAGAGACCGAUAGCGAACAAGUACCGUGAGGGAAAGAUGAAAAGCACUUUGGAAAGAGAGUUAACAGUACGUGAAAUUGUUGGAAGGGAAACGCUUGAAGUCAGACUUGCUAUUCGGGCAACCGAGUUGCAGGCCAGCAUCAGUUUUUCGGGGCGGAAAAUCACGGUUAGAAGGUAGCAGUUUCGGCUGUGUUAUAGCUUUCCGUUGGAUACGUCCUGGGGGACUGAGGAACGCAGCGUGCUUUUUGCAGGAGCUUCGGCUUCAUCACGCUUAGGAUGCUGGUGUAAUGGCUUUAAACGACCCGUCUUGAACACGGACCAA